rnacentral:lncRNA from 1 species
CUGCGCGUCAGGCCUGAGACCUGGGAGGAAGCUGGAGAAAAGAUGCCCUCUGAAUCUUUCUGUUUGGCUGCCCAGGCUCGCCUCGACUCCAAAUGGUUGAAAACAGAUAUACAGAUGAUAGUGUCGAACCAAGUGGAACAAAGAAAGAAGAUCUGAAUGACAAAGAGAAAAAAGAUGAAGACGAAACUCCUGCACCUGUAUAUAGGGCCAAGUCAAUUCUGGAGACCUGGGUGUGGGUCAAGCAACCAGGUAAUCUUCUGAGUUUUGGCACUUUGGAAAGCUUGAUCUGAUGCUCCUUUUCUAAAU